rnacentral:rRNA from 1 species
UACAGAGGGUGCGAGCGUUGUUCGGAAUUAUUGGGCGUAAAGGGCGCGUAGGCGGUGCGGCAAGUCACCUGUGAAAUCUCCUGGCUCAACUGGGAGCUUGCAGGCGAAACUGCCGUGCUGGAGUGUGGGAGAGGUGCGUGGAAUUCCUGGUGUAGCGGUGAAAUGCGUAGAUAUCAGGAGGAACACCUGUGGCGAAAGCGGCGCACUGGACCACAACUGACGCUGAGGCGCGAAAGCGUGGGGAGCAAACAGG